rnacentral:tRNA from 1 species
UUUAGGAUGGCCGAGUGGUUAAGGCGUUGGACUUAAGUUCCAAUGUACGAAUGUACGCGUGGGUUCGAACCCCACUCCUGGUA